AUUAUAUUCUGGCAGCAAAAAAUCGAGUUAUUCAGAGUCUUUCAAAAACUCUGUUUACGUAUUGACAUACACAUUAGACUUAGCUUUUCAACAAUUUAUACCGCUACUUGUCGGUAUCUCCUUCACCUGAAAAAGUAAAUUUGUCUAAUAAAUUGACAUGCAAACGAAGCUUUAAUGUUUGAUUUCUUAACCCCAAUCGAAUAGACAAUAGCUAUUUAUGAAAAAAAUAAAUUUUAAGCUAAAAGUAAGUAUGGGUUGACGAUGAUGUAG